UCUUCUUUCCUUUCUUUCUUAGCCGCGUAUCUUAUUCCUUCGUUUGUUUCUCAGGUCUCUUCAGUUUCUCUCAAAGAUAUACAGUGAGAGCAUCUCUAUAACAACUUCCCUAUAUAACAACACCUUACUAUAAAAGUCAAACUUUUUUGGAACCAAUUUUUAAAUUAUGUUAUAAUAUAUGCUCUAUAUAACAACACUUUGCUAUAACAUCCAAAAAUAUUCAGAACAAACGAUGUUAUUAUAGAGAGGUUUGACUGUACUCCAUUUGUUUGCUCCUUUCUUUAAUUCUCUUCGCGUACAAAUCUUGCUGCAGGUGCCAAUUUGAAGUCACGCUCACAGAUUAGAGCGGUUCUACAACAUCAACUAUUUCCAACGAGCAUGCAGAAAAAAUAUUACUUCUCACUUCGAAAGAGAUUUAUGAUAACUGUAAUGUCAAGAAAGAACUGUUGCCUCUUAUGAACGCGCAAAAGCUACUGACGGGCAAGAUCUUCAAGAUUCAAAUAAAAAAGUUGUUUACAAGAAACAAUGAGGCACUGCCAGGAAAGUUAGUUAUUUUGUCUUUCAUGAACAAAAGUAAUUUGGUUAUCUCACAAAUGCCAGCCACCAUCAAAGACGUUGCAGAAGGAAGUAAACAAAAAAUUGAACAUGUUGCCACAGAGAAAUAACAGCACCCACACACAACAAGCAAAGGCAAUGGUUCCUACAACAAAUGUAAGACGGAAAUGAAAAUUUCUCCUCCGAAAAACUGCUGAGAGCAAUAUUUUGACAAGAGAAAUUGAGGUUUCAGCUAAGGGUCUUUGUCGCUCAUCGAGAUAUUUUUGGCCAAGAACUACUAGAAAAAGGACAAGAAAGAAGACCAAAGACUGCAUAUGUAAAUAAUUUGUAUACGAUAAAAAUCGGGUAGGCCCGAUUUUAUUAUUUGAUCGAGGCUAAGGAAUUGUAUCGGUCGGCCUCGCAACCGAGCAGAACAAGGUACGAGGACAAGGCACCGAAUUUCUAGGACCGAGGAACUUAUCGAAGAUCGAGGCCAGUAGCGAUCGAGACCAAAGGGGACAAACAUCGAGCAAAGCACAAUAACAGAAAGGUGAGAUAUCCAUGACUGGCCGAAGAUCAUGGCAUAAAUCUAGGAACAGAACAAAAAGGGUGGUUAUUUAGUUAAUCAUGGGAUUUACUUCCGUAAUUAGAAUUGUAUCAUAAAUAAGAUUCCUCUACUAUAUAAAAAGUGUCCUAAUCAUCUUGUAACCAUCUUACAUACACACAUAUCAAAGCAAUACAUACUUUCUAGCUUA